AUUGAACGCUGGCGGCAUGCCUUACACAUGCAAGUCGAACGGUAACAGGUCUUCGGCUGCUGCCGAGUGGCGAACGGGUGAGUAAUACAUCGGAACGUGCCCGAUCGUGGGGGAUAACGAGGCGAAAGCUUUGCUAAUACCGCAUACGAUCUACGGAUGAAAGCGGGGGAUCUUCGGACCUCGCGCGGACGGAGCGGCCGAUGGCAGAUUAGGUAGUUGGUGGGAUAAAAGCUUACCAAGCCGACGAUCUGUAGCUGGUCUGAGAGGAUGAUCAGCCACACUGGGACUGAGACACGGCCCAGACUCCUACGGGAGGCAGCAGUGGGGAAUUUUGGACAAUGGGCGAAAGCCUGAUCCAGCCAUGCCGCGUGCAGGAUGAAGGCCUUUGGGUUGUAAACUGCUUUUGUACGGAACGAAAAGCCUCUUUCUAAUAAAGAGGGGUCAUGACGGUACCGUAAGAAUAAGCACCGGCUAACUACGUG
rnacentral:rRNA from 1 species